AGGACAAGGUCGAAGAGCAGCGGUUGAAAUGAAACAUUAAGAAUGUACAGUUUUCUUCGGGACCCCGACCCCAGAACUGCCCUGCUAAGUAGUUCCCGCCUCCUUCCCAGCUCUCGGUUUCCUCUUAAUCACGUGACUGACGAGCCGCAGGACGGACACUGUUUAGCCAGCUCCUAGGCAACGGCGUGACGUGCCUGGAGCUUGCUCUGGCGAUUAGCUAACUCUUACAUUCUCUCUUCCUCUGUUCUGUUUGUGUGACCUUAUCUCUCACGGAUGAAAACAUUACAAAGUCUAUUCAACGUAAAGCAGGAGAACGACAGCAGAGGCUUCCGGAAGCAGUGGUGAUGCAAGUGUUUCCUGCUUUGCUCCUGGGCCGCCAUGAUCUGAGCAGCUCUGCCCUUCCGUGUCUUCCCCCCAUGAUGGAGUCAGCCAAACACAGACUGAAAAUGGGAGCCACUUAAAACCUGCUUACAGCACUGCAUAAUUAUGGAAAACCUGGCAGCAUAUCCACCUGUAGUUGGAGCCACGCCACAUCGCACCAAAGUGAGCCCUGUGAAUGAUCGUUCUGAAGGUCCUGUCUAAUUCUACCACUGGAGUCAAAAAGCCUCCAGUGUCUCCCCAUUAUCCUGCUAGGAGACCAGGUUCACAUUCCUCAGCGUGGCAGGGAACGGUGCCAAGAUCUGACCCUGACGGAACCCCAACUUCCAAAAUUUCACUCUUUUUCUACCGAAUUCAAGUGACAGGGUCACUGGUGUAAACACAGCUGCCAAGACUGCAGGCCGGCAUGCACUGGGUGUAGAGAGCCGAUCAUGAGCCGGUGAUCGCCUGGCCUUUGCGUUCCGCCCGCCAGCUGAGAAUGCCUCGCCUCAGAGAGAGGACAUCGUACUCAGAGAGGCUCUAGCCCAGUGCACUGGCAUCUCAGCAGACACUUUCACUCCUCCUGCCUCAGGAGAGUGUGAGGCACUUUUUCAGGCUACUGUCCAUUUUUGUCACCAUCUGUGUGAAUUUCCUGUGGCUGACUGUAAUAUCCCCACAAACAUGUCUUAAAACAACAGACAUUCAUUUCAGAUCUGGCAGCCCGAAGUCCAAAACCGAAGUGUUGGCAGAGCUGCUUCCUCCUGGGAGCUCGGAGGGAAAGCCUGUUCGAUGCCUCACUCUUAGCCUGUGGAGGCUGUUGGUAGCAGCCACUGCACUCUUGGACUUCUGUCUGUAACUCCAAGCCCGGCCUCUGACUCCACAGGAGCUUUUCCUUUGCAGCUCUCCCCUGCUCUUCCCUUCUCACAGCGUUUGUUACUGAAUUUGGGAUCCACCUAAUCCAGGAUGACCUCCUCUGAAGACUCAUUAUUAAACAGAGAGACCCUCUCCCCAAGUGAGGUCAUAUUCAGAGGCGCCAGGCAGAAUCCCUUUCCAGCACCAUUAUUCAGUCCACUGUGCCAAGGACGUUUUAUGGGGUGCUCUCUCCUCUGCAGGUUCUUGGGACGUUCUCCCCGUUCCGUGGGUGUGACUUUUCAAAGACUUCGGGGAUAAAGAAGUACCUUCUCCUUGCUCUGAGUUUCUCUUUUAUGCUUCUGUUAAAUUUAAACUUUCCACUUGACAUCAUUUAUGUAUGUUUCCAUCUGCCAUUUCAGCCCAGCAACCCUCUUCAAAACAUGAAAAUAAUGACAUACAUACCUGCGAUGUUUCUCCUGUUUGGGAAUUAAGAAUAAAUGUCACAAACAUGAGCUAGGAAUUAUAAUAACAAGAAUGAAAAUGGGAAAGAGGAGUUCGAAGCAGAGGGACCGAGGUGGUCAGGGCAAGGGGACAAAAAAAAAGAAACAAGCUGUAUCAUGUACACGUACCCACUCCCCACGAUCGAUGUAAAGAUCACGUACUGCCAACGUGUACUAAUAAAAGGAAACAGCAAAGAUAGAGCAUGAGGAAGCCAAACACAGAAAAAAAGAAUAAAGUUUCUAUGAACAUAAGUGAGCAAGUUUGAGUGUGUAAGUUUUCCAAUCAUUUGAGUAAAAACUUAAGAGCACAGUUACUAUAUUAAAUAAUUGACUAUAUUUAGCUUUGCAAAGAACUGUCAAACUUUUAGAAAAUGACGGCACCAUUUCGCAUUCCCACCAGCAAUGAUUAUUUCUGUUGCUCUACUUUCUUGCUAGAAUCUAGGAUUGUCAUGUUUUAGAUUUUAGACAUUCUCAUAGUUGUGUUAGCUCACUGUUGUAAUUUACAGUUUCCUAGUGAAGUGAGAUUGUUUUCUCAUUCGCUUAUUUGUUAUUUAUAUAUCUUUUUGGGGAAGAAAUUUAUUCAGAUCUUUUGACCAUUUUCAUUGAAUUAUUUUAUUAUAAUUGUUUUAGUAUAACAGAUCCUUGGAUAUUUUCAAUACAGAUUCUUUGUCACAUAUAUGUUUUACAAAUUCUUUCUCCAAUUCUCUAUCCUUUUUUUUUCAUUCUACUUCCAGUGAUUCAGAGCAGCAUGUUACUAAUGAAGACCAAUUAAUUUUUUCUUAAAUAGAUUUUGCUAUUUGGUUUGUAUCUAAAAAAUCAUUUGCAAGUCCAAUGUCACUUUGACUUUUUUCUACAUUAUGUUCUGUAGAGUCUACAGUUUUGGGUUUUGUAUUUAGAUCUAUAAUCCAUCUUGGUCAACUUUUGUGAGAACUACACCUACUUUGCUUUGUAUGUGUAUGUUAAGUUCUCUCACCAUGACUUAUUUAAAACACUAUCAUUCCUCCACUGAA